UUUGGAAGUAAAAAUCGUAACAAGGUCUCCGUAGGUGAACCUGCGGAGGGAUCAUUACACAAAUAUGAAGGCGGGCUGGAACCUCUCGGGGUUACAGCCUUGCUGAAUUAUUCACCCUUGUCUUUUGCGUACUUCUUGUUUCCUUGGUGGGUUCGCCCACCACUAGGACAAACAUAAACCUUUUGUAAUUGCAAUCAGCGUCAGUAACAAAUUAAUAAUUACAACUUUCAACAACGGAUCUCUUGGUUCUGGCAUCGAUGAAGAACGCAGCGAAAUGCGAUAAGUAGUGUGAAUUGCAGAAUUCAGUGAAUCAUCGAAUCUUUGAACGCACAUUGCGCCCUUUGGUAUUCCAAAGGGCAUGCCUGUUCGAGCGUCAUUUGUACCCUCAAGCUUUGCUUGGUGUUGGGCGUCUUGUCUCUAGCUUUGCUGGAGACUCGCCUUAAAGUAAUUGGCAGCCGGCCUACUGGUUUCGGAGCGCAGCACAAGUCGCACUCUCUAUCAGCAAAGGUCUAGCAUCCACUAAGCCUUUUUUUCAACUUUGACCUCGAUCAGGUAGGA
rnacentral:rRNA from 1 species